rnacentral:rRNA from 1 species
AUUGAACGCUGGCGGCAUGCCUUACACAUGCAAGUCAAACGGCAGCGGGGGAGAAGCUUGCUUUUCCUGCCGGCGAGUGGCGAACGGGUGAGUAAUACAUCGGAACGUGCCCUGUAGUGGGGGAUAACUAGUCGAAAGAUUAGCUAAUAUCGCAUACGACCUGAGGGUGAAAGUGGGGGACCGCAAGGCCUCAUGCUAUAGGAGCGGCCGAUGUCUGAUUAGCUAGUUGGUGGGGUAAAGGCCUACCAAGGCGACGAUCAGUAGCUGGUCUGAGAGGACGAUCAGCCACACUGGGACUGAGACACGGCCCAGACUCCUACGGGAGGCAGCAGUGGGGAAUUUUGGACAAUGGGCGAAAGCCUGAUCCAGCAAUGCCGCGUGUGUGAAGAAGGCCUUCGGGUUGUAAAGCACUUUUGUCCGGAAAGAAAUGGCUCUGGUUAAUACCUGGGGUCGAUGACGGUACCGGAAGAAUAAGGACCGGCUAACUACGUGCCAGCCGCCGCAGUAAAAC